CCUUUGCCCUUAGAGUUUGAUCCUGGCUCAGGACGAACGCUGGCGGCGUGCUUAACACAUGCAAGUCGAGCGGAAAGGCCCUUCGGGGUACUCGAGCGGCGAACGGGUGAGUAACACGUGAGCAACCUGCCCCAGGCUUUGGGAUAACCCCGGGAAACCGGGGCUAAUACCGGAUAUGGCCUUGCACCGCAUGGUGUUUGGUGGAAAGUUUUUCGGCUUGGGAUGGGCUCGCGGCCUAUCAGCUUGUUGGUGGGGUGAUGGCCUACCAAGGCGACGACGGGUAGCCGGCCUGAGAGGGCGGCCGGCCACACUGGGACUGAGACACGGCCCAGACUCCUACGGGAGGCAGCAGUGGGGAAUAUUGCACAAUGGGCGGAAGCCUGAUGCAGCGACGCCGCGUGAGGGAUGACGGCCUUCGGGUUGUAAACCUCUUUCAGCAGGGACAAAGCGUAAGUGACGGUACCUGCAGAAGAAGCGCCGGCCAACUACGUGCCAGCAGCCGCGGUAAGACGUAGGGCGCGAGCGUUGUCCGGAUUUAUUGGGCGUAAAGAGCUCGUAGGCGGCUUGUCGCGUCGACCGUGAAAACCUGGGGCUCAACCC
rnacentral:rRNA from 1 species